AGGGAAAGAGGGAGGCAGGCCUAACACAUGCAAGUCGAGCGGCAGCGCGGGGGCAACCCUGGCGGCGAGCGGCGGACGGGUGAGGAAUUCGUCGGAAUCUGCCUUUUUGUGGGGGAUAACGUAGGGAAACUUACGCUAAUACCGCAUACGUCCUACGGGAGAAAGUGGGGGACCGCAAGGCCUCACGCAGAAAGAUGAGCCGACGACCGAUUAGCUAGUUGGUGGGGUAAAGGCCCACCAAGGCGACGAUCGGUAGCUGGUCUGAGAGGAUGAUCAGCCACACUGGGACUGAGACACGGCCCAGACUCCUACGGGAGGCAGCAGUGGGGAAUAUUGGACAAUGGGCGCAAGCCUGAUCCAGCCAUGCCGCGUGUGUGAAGAAGGCCUUCGGGUUGUAAAGCACUUUUGUCCGGAAAGAAAUCCCUGGAGCUAAUACCUUCGGGGGAUGACGGUACCGGAAGAAUAAGCACCGGCUAACUUCGUG
rnacentral:rRNA from 1 species